CCAAAAUUUUGAGUACAUUAAUACUUUCUACACGGGCCACUACAUACUUAAAAGAAACACGUAAUACUUUUGAGUUUCUCAUAUAUUGAUGAGUUUCGGUACAUUUUAAUUUUUUUGAGGUAGGUAACAUAUUUAGUUAAUUAGUAUUAAGGUGUAAAUACAGACCCAAAAUCUUGAGUACAUUACUAUUUUCUA
rnacentral:lncRNA from 1 species